rnacentral:rRNA from 1 species
AUUGAACGCUGGCGGAAUGCUUUACACAUGCAAGUCGAACGGCAGCACGGGGGCAACCCUGGUGGCGAGUGGCGAACGGGUGAGUAAUACAUCGGAACGUGCCCAGUCGUGGGGGAUAACGUAGCGAAAGUUACGCUAAUACCGCAUACGAUCUGAGGAUGAAAGCGGGGGACCUUCGGGCCUCGCGCGAUCGGAGCGGCCGAUGUCAGAUUAGGUAGUUGGUGGGGUAAAGGCCUACCAAGCCGACGAUCUGUAGCUGGUCUGAGAGGACGACCAGCCACACUGGGACUGAGACACGGCCCAGACUCCUACGGGAGGCAGCAGUGGGGAAUUUUGGACAAUGGGCGGAAGCCUGAUCCAGCCAUUCCGCGUGCAGGACGAAGGCCUUCGGGUUGUAAACUGCUUUUGUAUGGAACGAAAAGGCUCUGGCUAAUACCUGGGGCUCAUGACGGUACCGUAAGAAUAAGCACCGGCUAACUACGUG